AAAGAUUUGAGUAUCGUAAGAGGACUCCCUUAACUUAAGCAUAUCAAUAAGGGA
rnacentral:rRNA from 1 species